AGAGGUAUAGUUUAAUGGUAAAACUUGAUGCUACGGACAUCAUAAUUGUAGUUCGAAUCUAUAUACCUCUA
rnacentral:tRNA from 1 species